rnacentral:rRNA from 1 species
AUUGAACGCUGGCGGCAGGCCUAACACAUGCAAGUCGAACGAGUGGCGGACGGGUGAGUAAUGUCUGGGAAACUGCCUGAUGGAGGGGGAUAACUACUGGAAACGGUAGCUAAUACCGCAUACCAUCAGAUGUGCCCAGAUGGGAUUGGCGAGUUGGUGGGGUAACGGCUCACCAAGGCGACGAACCCUAGCUGGUCUGAGAGGAUGACCAGCCACACUGGAACGGAUGCACGGGCCAGAUUCCUACGGUGGGCAGGAGUGGGGAAUAGUGCACAAUGGGCGGAAUGCUGAUGCAGCGCUGCCGCGUGUAUGAAGAAGGCCUUAGGGUGGUAAAGUACUUUCAGCGGGGAGGCGUUACCCGCAGAAGAAGCACCGGCUAAAGCCGUGCGAGCCGCCGCGGUAAUAC